UUUGACGUUAGCGACAGAAGAAGCACCGGCUAACUCCGUGCCAGCAGCCGCGGUAAUACGGAGGGUGCGAGCGUUAAUCGGAAUUACUGGGCGUAAAGCGCAUGCAGGUGGUUUGUUAAGUCAGAUGUGAAAGCCCGGGGCUCAACCUCGGAAUUGCAUUUGAAACUGGCAGACUAGAGUACUGUAGAGGGGGGUAGAAUUUCAGGUGUAGCGGUGAAAUGCGUAGAGAUCUGAAGGAAUACCGGUGGCGAAGGCGGCCCCCUGGACAGAUACUGACACUCAGAUGCGAAAGCGUGGGGAGCAAACAGGAUUAGAUACCCUGGUAGUCCACGCCGUAAACGAUGUCUACUUGGAGGUUGUGGCCUUGAGCCGUGGCUUUCGGAGCUAACGCGUUAAGUAGACCGCCUGGGGAGUACGGUCGCAAGAUUAAAACUCAAAUGAAUUGACGGGGGCCCGCACAAGCGGUGGAGCAUGUGGUUUAAUUCGAUGCAACGCGAAGAACCUUACCUACUCUUGACAUCCAGAGAACUUUCCAGAGAUGGAUUGGUGCCUUCGGGAACUCUGAGACAGGUGCUGCAUGGCUGUCGUCAGCUCGUGUUGUGAAAUGUUGGGUUAAGUCCCGCAACGAGCGCAACCCUUAUCCUUGUUUGCCAGCGAGUAAUGUCGGGAACUCCAGGGAGACUGCCGGUGAUAAACCGGAGGAAGGUGGGGACGACGUCAAGUCAUCAUGGCCCUUACGAGUAGGGCUACACACGUGCUACAAUGGCGCAUACAGAGGGCGGCCAACUUGCGAAAGUGAGCGAAUCCCAAAAAGUGCGUCGUAGUCCGGAUUGGAGUCUGCAACUCGACUCCAUGAAGUCGGAAUCGCUAGUAAUCGUGGAUCAGAAUGCCACG
rnacentral:rRNA from 1 species